UCCGCGGGGUUUCAGCUACCUAAUGUUCGCUCUUGUGUUCAUACUCUGCUGAGCUGCGAGUGUCCAUUUGUACAGAAUAUACUACAUUGCAACCCACUUCUGCCUUUAGUGAGACUGUUAUAUCCAGUCAUCAAAGUGAGUCAUAGCGCAAUGUUGGAAGGUUUUAAAUCCUCUCUCGGAUUUAGCGGCCACCGUUUCUUUCCCAC